AUUGAACGCUGGCGGCAUGCCUUACACAUGCAAGUCGAACGGCAGCACGGGAGCAAUCCUGGUGGCGAGUGGCGAACGGGUGAGUAAUAUAUCGGAACGUGCCCAGUCGUGGGGAUAACGUAGCGAAAGCUACGCUAAUACCGCAUACGAUCUAUGGAUGAAAGCGGGGGAUCGCAAGACCUCGCGCGAUUGGAGCGGCCGAUAUCAGAUUAGGUAGUUGGUGAGGUAAAGGCUCACCAAGCCGACGAUCUGUAGCUGGUCUGAGAGGACGACCAGCCACACUGGGACUGAGACACGGCCCAGACUCCUACGGGAGGCAGCAGUGGGGAAUUUUUGGACAAUGGGCGCAAGCCUGAUCCAGCAAUGCCGCGUGCAGGAUGAAGGCCUCGGUUGUAAC
rnacentral:rRNA from 1 species